UGGCAGGCUCUAUCUUUCCACUCAGACACAAGGCUGAUCUUGCUGGCCCAACACUUCCCAUUUAAGAGCUUCUUUCUUAAAAUAUUUGCUUAACAAACUUAAACUGUUAGAAAACUUUUAUUUUUGUUUUUCCUGGGAGGAAAUGUUAAAAGGCUGCAGUACUAUAGAAUAUUUUUAAGUAUUUCCCCAGAAUCACAACUUAACAUUAAUCCAGAAAAACUGUGAUAACCAAAAUACUCCAGGACAGAGAUAACCUACUAAUUAUAUUCUCUUGGAAGAUAAAUGUUAAAAACUUAAGUGUACUUGGAGCUCCAACUUGAAUUAUUAAAAUCUUUAAAGAAUGUAGAGUUCUCCUUCCCCAUGCUGACUGGGCCAUAAGAGGAGUCUUCACACUGAACUCUGAUGUGAGUCCCUGAAGGAUACAAUCUGUAGAAGAAAAAAAAAGUGGCCACACAGUCCCAUAUUCUGAUGAUAGGCUGCUGGCUGCAGUGCUGUUUCCAACUGUUUCCUGGUCCUCCCUGCUUUGCCAGUGGCCAUAGUGAACUUGCUGAUGGACGUAAAUGCAACUUGAAGGAGUUUGUUUAUAUGGUGAGUUACAUUCAUUGAUUUACAUGUGUUGAACCAACUCAACAUUCUGGGGUGAAGACUACUUAAUCAUGGUGGAUGAUCUCUUUGAUGUGUUCUUGAAUUUUGUUUGAGUCUCAGAUGAUGAUGCAGGCUGUCCAGGAGACAGUGAUCAGAAUCAGUUCCAGAAUGGGGAAGACAAUCUCCAGGAUGAGCACCAAAUGGGCCAAUGGAAUUCCUGUCCUUUAUAAAGGUCUUAGUUGUCUUUGGUGAGGUAGACCAGAAAGCCUAGCAGGGCUACAAGGAGGAUGGUGAUGCAAAUGGUGUGGGUGGCCUACAGUUCUUGAGGCAGAGCCAGCAGAAGACUCUGUAGUGAGCCAUGCUCUGGACCAGGCAGGACAUAUACAAUCCUUCUGUGCCAGCGAGCAUGGCACAAAUGCAACUGCUGAGGCAGUCACCUUCCUCAAGUGUGGGUGCUGGAAAUUCACCUAGCUAAGUAGUGUCAGGAUCAUGCUUGGGAUUUUCAAAGCAAUGGAGACCUGCAAAGCUUGAGUGUAUAAAAAGGAAAAUAACCUGUGGGCUAGGUUGAAGAUGGAGGUAGGCAUCAUUCAACCAUCAUGUGCCUAAUUGAUGAAGCAGAAGAGACUCUGCUCUGCACAGCCUUCUCAAGGGGAAUGCUCUAGUGACCUGCUUUUUCAAGAUUCCAGGAGUAAGGAGGUUGGUGUGGUGGCAGUGGUAAGCCUGCUUACUCAUUUAGGGGACCUGGUGACUAAGGCAUGGCCCCUAGAGUCUAAAAGAGCUGUUCUGACCUUUGAUAUUUUACUUAACCUUUCUGGGCCUCAGUUUCCUACCCUACAAGAUAAAGGCAGCAAGAUUACAUUUUAUUUAUUUAAUUUGAACGUGUAUGGGUCUUUUACUGUAUGUAUCUAUGCUUGCACCUCAUGUGUGCAGUGCCAUGUAAGCCAGAAGAGGGUGUUGAAACCCCUGGAAAUGGAUUACAGAUUGUUGUUGUAAGCUACAAUGUGGGUGCUGGAAACCAAACCUGGCCCCAAGGAAAAGCAACUGGUGCCCUUAACUGCUGCUUUAUCUUCUUUAUCUUUCCAGCCCCAGCAAGAUUGCUUUUUUUUUCUCUCUGGUCUUUUCAGACAGGGUUUCUCUGUGUAGCCUUGGCUGUUCUGGAACUCACUCUAUAGACUAGGCUGGCCUCAAACUCACAGAGAUCCAUCUGCCUCUGCUUCUCAAGUGCUGGGAUUAAAGGCAUGUGCCACCACCAAGACUGCAUUUUAAUGUAUACAUUUAAUCAUAUCCUAAGAAGUGUAUUAAGCAGUACAUGAUAAAUCCUAAAUAAAUACUGUGAACUGUCUUAAUUAUUGUUGUUUUGCUGCUAUAUCCCCUGGACCCCUAAGAAACUUCGGUUGAUUCUUCUGAUGAGUUGUUUCAUGGCUGAGCUCCCUUCCAACUUCCUGCCAACCACAAUAUCUCCCACCACCCAUGGACUGGAACAUCUGUAGGAUGGUAUCCAGGUGGGAAUCAUUGCAAUCCAUGCUGGGAUUUUAGACUAUUAGCAUAUUCAACAAUGCAUUACCAUUACCAAGGCAUUAGUUACAAGUAGUAUUGAGUAGUGCUUGCAGUCAAUGACUGCCAGUGUUCCUAAUGAGAGAGAGGAUAUCCAUGGAAGUUGCAGUGGUUUCCUCUAUAGCUUAUCAGAGCCCCUGUGACUGAGAUCAGAGUUGGGUUACAUUUUUUUAUUUCUUGCACUUGAAGCACUUCCUGUGGGCUGAUUCCUUAACAUCCAGAAGGGAAGGUGGGUCUGGUGUCUAUUACAGAGAUAGCUGCGGCUGUAGAGAUGCUCUAAGAAGAAAAAAAUAUUGAGUGGUCUGAUUUCCCACUGGAAGAGGAAACUGAUGAGUCAGCAUAAAGGAAAAUAUCAAAUAGCAAUUUUGUUCUUCAAGACAAUCCCAGUGCUAAUGAAGUUGUUUGAAAGCUGCAAGAAGGCACUGCAAGUUGACAAAGGGACUUCGAGGAAUGAAAAGUCUGGAGAGGAAGUAGAGAAUUGUGAAAUGCCAUUGUAGAGAGACUGAUAAACAGCUCUAGUGGCUCUGCUGGGAGACCUCAGGACCCAUGUGAGGCAGAACAGCUGCAAGUUGGAAGAGCAUCUUCCUGCAGGUGGCUCUCCCUUCACGACCCACUCUGUCCUUCUAAUUGUUUCUUUGGUGCCCUUUCCUUCUCUUUCAUUACUUAAUAUAUUUUUACUUUUAGGCGCACAUACCAGUUGUUCAUAUAUGGGUAUGUUGUGACCUUUCAAUAAAGAACAGGUAUACUGAUCUGACUGGAAUCAUUGGUAUAUUUAUUUAUCACUGUGUACAUUUUACUUAAUCCUUCUGGGCCUUCAUUAUUUGUGUCAGGAACAUUUAAACUAUUUGAUGUUUUCAAAUUCAACUCAUCACUGUC
ensembl:lncRNA